AUCAUGGCUUAACAUCAUCACGUAAAGUUAAAAUGCUGACAGAACAAGGGGUUGCGCAUUAGUGCACGAACAUCAUUCUGGAUUACGUACCGCAGGAAGACGAGCUCAUUAACAAAUGACCCAAUCCUCAAGUAACAUGGAAGAGAAAUAUGCCGAUAUCCCAAAUUUAAAAGUUACUGAAGUCAGAGGUGGCAUUGGACACAUAUGGAAACAAAGCUUAAAAAAUGAAAGUUUUGCAGUUCUGAAUUAUAUACGUUUUGGGAACCCUGACCUGGAUAAGAGAGAAAAAUCAAUGGAC